GUUUCUGUAGUGUAGUGGCUAUCACGUUCGCCUCACACGCGAAAGGUCCCUGGUUCAAACCAGGCAGAAACA
rnacentral:tRNA from 1 species